CCCGCACAAGCGGUGGAGCAUGUGGUUAAUUCGACGCAACGCGAAGAACCUUACCAGGGCUUGACAUCCCCUGACCGCGUAUGAAAGACGUUUUCACCCUCGGGUGACAGGGAGACAGGUGGUGCAUGGUUGUCGUCAGCUCGUGUCGUGAGAUGUUGGGUUAAGUCCUGCAACGAGCGCAACCCCUGUUUCCAGUUGCCAUCAAGUAAAGUUGGGGACUCUGGAGAGACUGCCUGCGCAAGCAGAGAGGAAGGUGGGGGAUGACGUCAAGUCAGCACGGCCCUUACGUCCAGGGCUACACACGUGCUACAAUGGCCGGUACAGAGGGCAGCGACCUGGUGACAGGUAGCGAAUCUCCAAAGCCGGUCUCAGUUCGGAUCGGAGUCUGCAACUCGACUCCGUGAAGCUGGAUUCGCUAGUAAUCGGAUAUCAGCAAUGAUCCGGUGAAUACGUUCCCGGGCCUU
rnacentral:rRNA from 1 species